CCCUUUUCCACCGGCUCUACUCGGCCGGCUCGGCUCGCUUUAAAUGCGUUUCCACCAGCCCUUUUCAACGGGGCUGGCCCUGCUUUUUAGGGUCCUGCUUCAGAGCAGGGCCAGCCGGGCCGGCCCUGGUUUGGUAGGUGACGCAAGCUUCGCUGCUGUUCACUGAUUGGCUGAGGGCGUGGACAAGACGGAGCAGCGGAGAGAGAAGAAAAAUGAAGGCGCAACGUUUGAAACUCGCUGCAACACGGAAGUGAUGGAAGAUACAAACAAGCCGUUAACUAAAAAAAGAUGCCGGCUUUUUUCUUUGCUUCGGAUUUCAAUAUUCAGCGGCAGCUCGAUGGAGCCGUGAGGAAUGAGUCGUUUUUGUCAGUAGUGGAGCGAAUGUAAAGCCUCGUUAGCCGCUUCGGAGCCGACGGAGCCCCACGGUGAACACCGACGCAGACGCAGCUGACGCCGCUGCUGCUCUCCAGCCAGGGAGCAGAAGGAGAGCAACAUGGCUGACAUGAUGGAGAACGAUGAGGAGAACCAUCAGAACAACAGGAUCUCCUUCAGGAGGAAGCAGCUACCAGCAGAUAUGGCAGAGCUCCAUGGAGAGUUGAGACAAACAGAAAAAUAAAAGUUGUUGUGUCUCAGUGA